rnacentral:snRNA from 14 species
CAAAAGGGUGCUUGCUCUACGUUUAUAUGGCACACUUGGCAGAGUUUUAACAGACUUGGCCUGGUGAGGUAUGGUUAUCAAGACAUACCUAGCACAUAAUUUUUAACAACAGAAAGCUGUUGACUGCGAAUCCUUGUUCCGUCGGCGCUUUC